UAUGAAAAUUUUUAAAAGUGGUUCUUAAUUGGGUAUGUAGCUGGUUAGUAGAGUAAAACCUUUCUUGAGUUGAGUAGCUUUGGCCAGGUUGUUCUAGCCCAUGUUUGUAACGAAAAGUUUUUACUUCUAUAAUCCGAUUUACUGCUCGACUAACUUUGGCAAGCCAUCCUUCUGGUUGAGAAGCCGAGUUUGUUGCAAUCCAUCCUUUGGGAUGUGAAGCCCAGUCCUCUCAGUAAGAAAAUUGUUGUUCUUUUAAUCUCACCAUGCCAAGGUUCGAGGCAAGCUGUCCUUUGGGAUGAGAAGCCCAGUGCUCUCAGUAAGAAAGCUAUUGUCCUUAUGCAAUACAUUAUAAAAAUCAUGCAGUGAUCAAGCUACUGGAGAAACAUGGUGCCAAGCCUCCAGUGUCCAAAUGAAGAAAGAGAUGGAGAAAGUGAUGAAGACAUUUAAGUGCGAAUUUAUAUUAUUUGUUGCAUAUUUUGGAUUAUGAGAUUAUUAAUGAAUGAUUUUGUUUUGUGAUGUGUAUAUAUUGUGUUAUAAUUUAUUUUGUAUGUAAAUAAAAAUUUACAUUAA